AAUCAUUUGUAAAAGCAGGAAUUGACGUGGCAAACUUCAUUCCUGUCUUAUUUUAGGAAAUCGCCACAGCCACCCCACACUUCAGCAACCACCUGCCUGACGAGUCAGCAGCCAUCAACAUCGAGGCAAGACCCUCCACCAGCAAAAAAAAAUGCAACUUGCUGAAGCCUCAGAUGAUGAAUGUUGAACCCUGACCUUGGAGUGGAAUGGCCCGGUACUGUGGAAAAAACAUGUGCGUUGAACCCAACUCUCGGCUCUGCAUUUGGAGGCUGUAGGAAGUUCCAUCAAGGCCACCGCGUCCUCAUCUGUACAAUGGGAAUAACACCUACCUCACGAGGCUAUUGAGAGGAUUAAGUGGCAUGGCUCUAGGAACUUUCCUGGCAGGUCCAGCUUGCAGCAGGACAAUGGGAUCCCUGAGAAGACUGCAUAGUUUCCUUUCACCCAGGGGUGCAAAGUCUCUGAUCUGGAUGAGAUGUCCUAUUGCGAAUUCCAGGAGGCAAUUCCCAGGUGUGAUGGAGCCCGGUGUUCUCAACAGCAUAGCAGGUUGAUCCAUGUGAGCAAGCCUGUCCCAGCUCUGCGUCCUCACACGUGCUGUUCCUCCUGCUCGUGGGUCUCCCUUUUCCUCCAGUCUGCUGGCCAUCCUGAGAAUAAUGUUUCCUUAGAGAGAACGUCUCUGAGUACCCAAACAAAAACGCCUGACUCAGCACUGUCUGGGAAAAUCAGCCUUUGAUUCAAAAAGAUGUUGUUCAAUGAUGGUGUCACAGUCCCAGCCAUAGCAUCAGCCCACUAGGAAGUCUGAGGAAGGGAGGCAGGCAGCCAGAAGGACAGAACUUUCUUCUCACCAGGAAGUACCUACCUCUAACCGAGAGAUGGAUCACUUGGUGCCACCAGGGGAAAGAUAAUUUAGCCAUUGUGUUCACGAUUAAGAAGCAUUCCUCUUUACUCAUGGAAGACUUUCAGUGUCACUACCGCCUGGAACCAAAUGAAAUCCUCCCAAGCCAUGGUUGGGAUCGAGAAUUAACCACAGAACAUGGUCACAGUGGGUUUCUGGCCCGGGCUGGGCACUCUGUAAUUGAGCUUGGGUCGAGACCAAUCUUCUCCACGGUCGCGGUGGCCCUGUGCCAUUAGUAUGGUGCCCAUGAGUGGAGGAGGCUGCAGCUCACUGAAGGUGCCAGCCGUGAAAAUGGCUCAGAAGAGAUGGCGCAAACAAGCUGCUGUGCUCAGGCUCGGGUCCAUGCUGUUGGUGGCCAAGCAGGACAAGUCAAGGUCGUAGAACUGAGAUAGGCUGGGACCUGGGACCCUUUACUGGAGUGCUUGCCCUUGCACCCGGACAAACGUCUCCUCGAGCAACAGAACGCAAAGCACCUAUAAGGGACUGAAAAUCACUGCACGCAUACACCAACUACCAUUUCUGAGGUGCUGAGAGCAAAAGCAGGGUAUUAUGCAUGGUCCCUGCACAUACCACCACCAAGGGGGCGGGCAGACCCCCUAAGCCACCCCUCCGGCCCAACCCACUGAUAUGCCCCCACCCUCAUCCCAUUUAAGGGACCAGCCUGCCCUCCUCGGAGAGCGAGCGAGGGCACCUGUUACUUGUUUUCUCUCCCUUGUGCAGCAGCGCAAGUCCCAGUAAAAUGUUGCCUGAAUUCCUCAUCAAUUUCUAUUGAUUAAAGAGUCCAAGGACCCAGGUCAGUAACGGAACAACUUGGGACUUAGGGCAUUGCCCCCAAGGAGCAUCAGCACUUGGGGUUCUAGUGACCAGGCAAAGAGACCCUCCAGGUGUCUGAGCACACCCUCCAGUUCUGCCAGGGUAUGUUGGCAUUUCUGCUGCUCGCCUCAGCAGUGGCCAGAGGUUUCUUCUUCUCCCUGUCCUCUGCCAGGGACUGCACUUCCAGCUCUGGAGCCGCCAUCACGACCCCCAGGACUGAACUUUAUUCUUGCAGUGAGCAGAUGAAGCCUCAGAAUGCUUCUCACCAUGGCCCUCCAGAAAGGUCCUGCCAGUGCGACUGAAAAGACAAGAACACAUACGCCAUUCCCAGGUGAGUCCCUCGUUUCACAGCAGAGGGACCUGGAGCCUAGAGAAGUAAAGUGACUUGCCCAAGCCCACACAGCCAGCCAGAGCAAGAACUGGAACUUGGGUUUUUCCCCUCUUUGGUUGGUAUUUGUCUUGCCAUCAUGUAUGGUGGUAUUUAUUUUCCUAACAUAUCACUUGGUUAGCUUAGUUUCUGAUUAGAAUGGCCCCUGCCACCAAUUACAUUGAUGUAGCUUUAGAUGGUUAAAUAUAUAUAUAUAUAUAAAAUAUACAUGUGUGUGUGUAUGUAUGUGUGUAUAUGUAUUGUCCAAAGUUCAUAAAUAACAGAAGUAAAACCAAUGAAUCAUUGAAGUAGUAAUCAGUAAAAGUUUAUUGUGCACAUAGCUCAAAGACAGUUUAUGAACCAGAAGCACUCAAACCAAAACAUGGAAUGAGGCUCAAGGUGUACUGUUAAAAAACAAAUUAUAUACUGGGAAGGCAGUGACUGUUUCUUCUUCACCAUGAUUGGUUAUAAUAUUACAAUUUUCUUAAAUGAUAGGGAAUUGGUUAGUGGCCACUGCAUA